CCCACAAUUUUCCUAAAGGCUUUUUUUUUGUUCUCUCUGGUACUAAUGAGUUAGCUGCGUAGGCAGCGGCUUGAUAAGGGGAAAAUGAACUGAAUCAUUAAGCUUUCUUUAUCGUCUCCUCUUUACAGACCACAAAACUGAGUGGAGAAAUUUCCACCAAAAACUUUAAUAUGGAAAAAAGAGGAAAGAAAUGAAAACAUCAGGAUCCCCCCCACAAAGCUCUGCAAAGUGAAUGUGCGGUUGCACGAGGCAAGCUGGUUCAUGGAACCACCCCGAAGAGGUGUUCUGGAAAUCGGUUGAUUAUCUCCAAAUGUUAUUUUUCAUUCUCGGAUUCAUCAAAACCAUCGACUCAAGGUGCCUUGCGAAGAAUGAGCAGAUAAUGGACAGAUGAGGAAACUGAAGUGCAUGGAUGUUAAAUUGUCCAUUAACGUGGUGGAGUGUGACGGGCAGAAGCUGCCUCGCAGAAUGAGGCAGAACGUGCAGCUUUGCCCUCACAGCAGGAAUGGCAAGCCCAGAGUGGGUGUGAUGGGGAGCUUGUGUGUGGCAGAUGCUGUAGAAGUCAACCAGGUCUCAUCUGUGGAAACGAAACACCUCAAAACCUCUUGUUUUUAGAGAGGGCUGGAGACUCUCAUUCCCUAGCUCCCCAGAGUCCUGAAGACACUGGGUCCUUCUCUGGCUGUUGUCAACAGUAGAUGGAAGCCGGAGAAUCUAAGACCACGUUUUCUCCUUGCGGUAGCUGGAACCUGGGUCCGUGUCUAUGAGAGAGAGCCUCCCACAGGGCUGUGCCCUUUGCCUUUCCAUUGGACAAUCAUCCCAGUUUCAGACUCUGACCACAUGUCCUCUGUUCUGCAGGCAUGGAGACCAAAGCUCUUCCUGUCGUCGUUGGCACACCAUUUCAGCGUAUGGAGAGAGCUUUUCAGGAGGUUUACUUUCUCUUCUGGCUUUGACAUUUCCUUUCCUGCUGGACCUAGAGUGUAUUACACCAUCUGACAGUCUCUGCUUUAGUAUAUGUUCAAUGGGAAUGGUGGACCCAUGUGGCCGCUGGGAUCAGCUAAGAUGAAAUGUAUGAAACACAUUGCGUGGUACUUAGUUGGUGGCUGGUCCCCAAAUUUAUAAUAGACAAAUCUCCUAUAUUGCUUCUCUUGUAUAAACGCAUAUGAGUGAGCCUGGAGGGAAGGAGAAAAAGAGAGAGAGGGAGGGAUGGAGGGAAGGAUAGAGGGAGGGAGAGAGACAGAGACAUGGAUUCCAAUCUAGGCUCUUGACUUUCAUGUCCUUUGACUGAAACCUCAGAGACAUAUUUUACUUCACUGUUUGACACAUAUGCACAGACGCUUACAAUUCAAAUACAGAUUUUGUGAACAAAUAUAGGCUUUAACUACAUGCAAUGUGCUGUACUCUUUACCACUCUGUCUAGUUCCUCCCGUUCCCUAUGGAGUGGAGAAACCAAACUCCAUAUCCCCAGAGGCUUCUUCUCCCUACCCUCAACUUAAUAGAGAGCUGGCUCAGGAAGUCUAAGCCAUCCCAUGGAAGGACAGACUCUCUCUGUCAUUUCCUCAAGCAGGCACUCCCUGUACCCCUGUGUUGUAGAGACCCACGGGCCUGAGUCUUUUGCUGUGGAUGCCCAGUCAAGUCAGCUCAGCGGGAUGCUCAGGAGGAAGCUCCUGUAUACACUGCUCCUGGUCUUCUUCUUUUUUUUCUGAGACAGGGUUUCUCUGUGUGGAGCCUGUCCUGGAACUUACUCUGUAGCCCAGGCUGGCCUUGAACUCACAGAGAUCCGCCUGCCUCUGCCUCCCGAGUGCUGGGAUUAAAGGCGUGCGCCACCACCGCCUGGUCUUCUUAUAGGUCUCCUAUGAGCAUUUGUUUGAGACAAGACCUCUUUGUAGCCCAAGCUGCUCUUGAACUUUUGAUCUUCUGCUUCCAUCUCCUGGGUGCUGGGAUUGUAGGCAUGCGCUCUUACAUCUGGUUUAUGUAGUGCGAGGAUUCAACAUGGGUUUUACUUGUUUAAAAACAAGCCUGUCAGAUCUAGCUGGCUUUGCCUUCCUGGAAGCAGAGUGACUGGAGGACCAUGGGCUCCUGUUUGGACCUCAGUUCUCUGGUGAGGAAGAGCUGUUCUUUCUUCAUAUUGUUCAUUCUUCAAAGGGAGGUUGGUCAACUCAGCCUGGAGCAAAAGAAGCCUAAUUCUCAUUUGUGGUCCAGGCCACAGAAGGCUUUGUUCAACUUCCUGUGGUCUUGACCUCUUAUCUGGGGCAGGCAUGAAGAACAAAGCCACCCAGAGGGGUGGGGAGGUGCUUCUCUCUGGUGCGUCUGCUAAGUGGUUAACCGCAGGUCAUGAGAACAGGUGAUGGUUGGAACGAUGAAGAAAGCCUACUCUACCAAGCACCGUGGAGUUCAAUUGCUAAGUUACUGAAGACCAGUGCAAGUGCAGUGGUGGACAACCAUUUAGAGAGGUUGGUGCUGAUGACCUUUCCUGGACAGCCCGUACCCAGACACAACUGAAGAGGAGUUGCAUCAGACCUCACAGAUGAGGGAUGUCAUGAAAAAGGUGAAGGGAUUUCUGGUUUGCUUUCCCACUCUCAUAAACGAGGACCCCUGUUACAGAGCAAUUGAACUCGGAUAUGGGAAGGAGACUUCUUCCACACUUCAGCUGUUGUGCCAAAGGACAUAGGUUAUGGCAUGAGAUGGGGGUGGGGUGGCAUCUACAGCAUUAAAGGGGAACAUCUGAGGAGCAACAGCAGGAGAAUUUGGAAAAGGAGUUCUUCAUAGAAAUGCAAUGAAAACCGCGCUGAGAUUUCAUCUUUUCCAGUUGGUGUGGCUCUUAUCCUGCAAACCAAAGAUGACAAACACUGGCUGAGAAACGGGGAAAGAAGAGCCCUUCACACUGCUGGUGAGAGUGUACUCUGGUGCAGCCACUGGGGAAAUGGCUGUAGAAAUUCUUCAAAAACUAAAACCGAAUCACCAUGUGAACCAGCCAUGCCGUGCCUAUGUUUAUACCCUAAGGCAUCUAAUUCAGACUACCACCACUGCACAUCCAUGUGUACAGCCAAGAAGUGGAACCACCAGCAAAGCUAUUAGAUGUAGAUAGAGACAAUAUGGUUCAUGACAUGAUGGGUUUUGCUUAGCUGUAAAGAAGAGUGGAGCUGUGACAUUUGCAGGAAAAAUAGAUGGAACAAGAGAUCGUUAAGGGAAAUAAGCCAGACUCAGAAAGACAGCUAGCUCAUUUAGUGGGAAGGAGAGG